CCUCUGGGUCCAACCUCCCACCCGUGUUUAUUUUACCUUGUUGCUUCGGCGGGCCCGCCUUAACUGGCCGCCGGGGGGCUCACGCCCCCGGGCCCGCGCCCGCCGAAGACACCCUCGAACUCUGUCUGAAGAUUGUAGUCUGAGUGAAAAUAUAAAUUAUUUAAAACUUUCAACAACGGAUCUCUUGGUUCCGGCAUCGAUGAAGAACGCAGCGAAAUGCGAUACGUAAUGUGAAUUGCAAAUUCAGUGAAUCAUCGAGUCUUUGAACGCACAUUGCGCCCCCUGGUAUUCCGGGGGGCAUGCCUGUCCGAGCGUCAUUGCUGCCCUCAAGCACGGCUUGUGUGUUGGGCCCCGUCCUCCGAUCCCGGGGGACGGGCCCGAAAGGCAGCGGCGGCACCGCGUCCGGUCCUCGAGCGUAUGGGGCUUUGUCACCCGCUCUGUAGGCCCGGCCGGCGCUUGCCGAUCAACCCAAAUUUUUAUCCAGGUUGACCUCGGAUCAGGUAGGGAUACCCGCUGAACUUAAGCAUAUCAAUAAGCGGAGGACUUACCU
rnacentral:rRNA from 1 species